rnacentral:rRNA from 1 species
CAUUAACGAAUUGUAAUGGGAGUUUGAUGCUGGCGAAGUGGGAGACACUUUUGCAUGUGCUUGCUUCCAACAAUUUUAUCCAAACACCUGUGCACCUUUUGAGGGGAGAUAAAUCUUUAUGGGUUUCUCUCUUCAUUUUUUACAUACACGCUGAUUUUAAUGUUGAAUGUGCUAUGUGCCUUAUUUUUAUAAGUGCCUUGAACGAAUACAACUUUUAACAACGGAUCUCUUGGCUCUUGCAUCGAUGAAGAACGCAGCGAAAUGCGAUAAGUAAUGUGAAUUGCAGAAUUCAGUGAAUCAUCGAAUCUUUGAACGCACCUUGCGCCCCCUGGUAUUCCGGGGAGCACACCUGUUCGAGUGUCUUGACACUGUCAAGCUGGGGUACUUUUUGUUUAGAAAGGUUGCCUCUGUUUGGUUAUUGGGCUCUGCCGUGCCCUGCACUUGGGGAAAUGGGCUAGCCUUAAAAGCAUUAGCAAACCUUGAUAAUCUACUCGGCGUAUUAAUGAUACAUGAACCGCAGAGGACAUUGUUAUCGGUUGCUUUCUAAUCUGGCAUUGGUGGUUCUUAGGAAUCCGUCAACCAUCUUCAGAUUUG